UGGGACAAGAACGAUCAUAGAAGAUU
rnacentral:piRNA from 1 species